UACGUAGGGACCGAGCGUUGUCCGGAAUCAUUGGGCGUAAAGAGCGUGUAGGCGGCCUGUUAAGUCUUGCGUGAAAUCUCGGGGCUCAACCCCGAGCGGUCGUGAGAAACUGGCGGGCUAGAGUGCGGGAGAGGAGAGUGGAAUUCCUGGUGUAGCGGUGAAAUGCGCAGAUAUCAGGAAGAACACCCGUGGCGAAGGCGGCUCUCUGGAACGCAACUGACGCUGAGACGCGAAAAGCGUGGGGAGCAAACAGG
rnacentral:rRNA from 1 species